rnacentral:rRNA from 1 species
CCCUUAGAUGUCCUGGGCCGCACGCGCGCUACACUGAGUGUCUGAGAUACGAGUCUGCCUGGUCCGGCAAGGUCUAGGUAAUCGCUAAAGGACACAUCAUGCUUGGGAUAGAUUAUUGCAAAUAUUAAUCUUGAACGAGGAAUUCCUAGUAAGCGCAAGUCAACAGCUUGCGUUGAUUACGUCCCUGCCCUUUGUACACACCGCCCGUCGCUACUACUGAUUGGAUGUUUAAGCGAGGUUCUCGAACUGCUAGCGACUUAGCUUCGGUGAGGUCGCAGUGCGGGAAGUGAACCUAGCUUUGGUGUCUAGAGGAAGUAAAAGUCGUAACA